rnacentral:rRNA from 1 species
AAGGAAUAUUGGUCAAUGGACGCAAGUCUGAACCAGCCAUGCCGCGUGGAGGAUGAAGGUCCUCUGGAUUGUAAACUUCUUUUAUCUGGGACGAAACACUUCUUUUCUAAGAGGCCUGACGGUACCAGAUGAAUAAGCACCGGCUAACUCCGUGCCAGCAGCCGCGGUAAUACGGAGGGUGCAAGCGUUAUCCGGAUUCACUGGGUUUAAAGGGUGCGUAGGUGGGUAUGUAAGUCAGAGGUGAAAUCCCCGAGCUUAACUUGGGAACUGCCUUUGAUACUAUAUAUCUUGAAUACCGUAGAGGUAAGCGGAAUAUGUCAUGUAGCGGUGAAAUGCUUAGAUAUGACAUGGAACACCAAUUGCGAAGGCAGCUUACUAUGCGGUUAUUGACACUGAGGCACGAAAGCGUGGGUAGCAAAC